rnacentral:rRNA from 1 species
UACCCAGACUCCUACGGGAGGCAGCAGUGGGGAAUAUUGCACAAUGGGGGAAACCCUGAUGCAGCAACGCCGCGUGGGUGAGGAAGUAUUUCGGUAUGUAAAGCUCUAUCAGCAGGGAAUAGAAAAGAAGGUACCUGAAAAAGAAGCCCCGGCUAACUACGUGCCAGCAGCCGCGGUAAUACGUAGGGGGCAAGCGUUAUCCGGAUUUACUGGGUGUAAAGGGAGCGUAGACGGUCCUGCAAGCCAGAUGUGAAAGCCCGGGGCUCAACCCCGGGACUGCAUUUGGAACUGUAAGGCUAGAGUGUCGGAGAGGCAGGCGGAAUUCCUAGUGUAGCGGUGAAAUGCGUAGAUAUUAGGAGGAACACCAGUGGCGAAGGCGGCCUGCUGGACGAUGACUGACGUUGAGGCUCGAAAGCGUGGGGAGCAAACAGGAUUAGAUACCCCAGUA